AGGAAAAGAAACUAACAAGGAUUCCCCUAGUAACGGCGAGUGAACCGGGAAGAGCUCAAAUUUGAAAUCUGGCGUGCUCAGUGCGUCCGAGUUGUAAUCUAUAGAGUCGUUUUCCGUGCCGGACUGUGUCCAAGUCCCUUGGAACAGGGUAUCAAAGAGGGUGAUAAUCCCGUACUUGACACAAUGACCGGUGCUCUGUGAUACGUCUUCUACGAGUCGAGUUGUUUGGGAAUGCAGCUCAAAAUGGGUGGUGAGUUCCAUCUAAAGCUAAAUAUUGGCGAGAGACCGAUAGCGAACAAGUACCGUGAGGGAAAGAUGAAAAGCACUUUGGAAAGAGAGUUAAACAGUACGUGAAAUUGUUAAAAGGGAAACGAUUGAAGUCAGUCGUGACUGAGAGGCUCAGCCGGUUCUGCCGGUGUAUUCCCCUCAGUCGGGUCAACAUCAGUUUUGUUCGGUGGAUAAGGGCAGUUGGUAAGGUGGCACCCUCGGGUGUGUUAUAGCCAGCUGUCGCAUACAUCGGAUGAGACUGAGGAAUGCAGCUCGCCUUUAUGGCCGGGGUUCGCCCACGUUCGAGCUUAGGAUGUUGACAUAAUGGCUUUAAACGACCCGUCUU
rnacentral:rRNA from 1 species